rnacentral:lncRNA from 1 species
AUUGUAGCAGCAGAAUUCUGAUAAGAUGGAGGAAAGAAAAGCCAGAGUGAAGCAGACCAUUAGCAGAUAAUUGUCAUAAUCUUGAUACUAAAUGGAGACCAGAAUUAAGGCUUUCAAAGAAUUGAAUGAAGCCCAUCCACACUGGGAAGGCAAUCUGCUUUGUUCAGUCUACUGAUUCAACUGUCAAUCUCAUCCAGAAACACCUUCCCAGAUGCACCAAGAAUGUUUAAGCAAAUAUCUGGGCACCUCGUGGUCCAGUCAAUUUGACAUAUAAAAUUAACCAUCCGAUGGUUCAACAUACAUGUACCUGUGAUGUUUAACCUACAAAUAAAGAUUGCUAAGAGGUCAAUAUUUCUG